rnacentral:rRNA from 1 species
AUUGAACGCUGGCGGCAGGCCUAACACAUGCAAGUCGAACGAGUGGCGGACGGGUGAGUAAUGUCUGGGAAACUGCCCGAUGGAGGGGGAUAACUACUGGCAACGGUAGCUAAUACCGCAUACCCUCGGAUGUGCCCAGAUGGGAUUAGCGAGUAGGUGGGGUAACGGCGCACCUAGGCGACGAGCCCUAGCUGGUCUGAGAGGAUGACCAGCCACACUGGCACUGAGACACGGUCCAGACUCCUACGGUAGGCAGCAGUGGGGAAUAUUGCACAAUGGGGGCAAGCCGGAUGCAGCCAUGCAGGGUGUAUGAAGAAGGCGGUCGGGUUGUAAAGUACUUUCAGCGAGGAGGCGUUACUCGCAGAAGAAGCAACGGCUAACUCCGUGCCAGCAGCCGCGGUAAUAC